AUAAGGACAUUCUUGGUGCAAAUUUCUCAUCACGGUCUAAAUUUUACCGCUGCUCAUUUAUUUUCUAUUAACUCGGGAUUGUUGCAAUCCUUUACAAUAGUUAUCACGACAUAUCUCGUUAUUCUCAUAGAAAUUAAUCCAAAAGUUAUUUAAAUGUAUUAACUUCAGAUAUAAGUCAAAACACAAGCCUCAUGCUGUCUCCGUUUACAAUGUUUCUUGUGUGAAGACCAUAGCUCGGCUAUACCUGACAGAUUACGACCCCAGCAUUAUCUAUACACUCAAGUUAAGGCACAGUAAUAACAGAAAAAUAGACAAAUGUUAUUUUUAUUUCCAUCGACAAUGUGUCUUGUAUCGAGUAAUUAUCAAGCUGUCGAAUCAUUGACAGAAAAAAGAAAUUCCAUCAACAAUGUUUCUUGUACAAUCCACCCUACAAGCUACCGGAUGAUUGACAGAUUACAAACUCAUCAUCAUCUAUUCAUCCAGCUGAGGCACAUAAAGAGAAAAAAAUGUUACAGUACCUUAUAGCGAACACAUAAUUUUUCUGACAUACUAUUUCCAUGGAUAAUGUUUCAUGCAGCAAGCACCCUCCAAGCUAUUGAAUGAUUGGCAGAUGACGAACCCACGAUUAUCUACAUACUUCAAUUAAGACACUAGAAAAAGAAAAUACAAAGAAUAGGGUUACAGUAUCUUGAAACUAAUAAAUAGUCGCCUUCUAUGUACGUUAUCUACUUGCUAUUUCCUUGUAUCAAACUCCCAUAUACUAGCGAAUGAUUGACUGAUUUUGCAAACCCGUCAUUACCCAUGCGCGGAACUUGAGGCACAAUAACGCGA